GCCUCUGUGAUGGAAUUGGUAGACAUGACAGAUUCAAAAUCUGUUGCUCUUUGGGCGUGCCAGUUCGAGUCUGGCCAGAGGUACCA
rnacentral:tRNA from 1 species